rnacentral:misc_RNA from 1 species
CUGGGACGGCGGCUGUUCGAUCUUGCACCCGGCCCGAAACGCUUUGUGCCGUUCCCGCUCGGCACCCACAUCAACCUUGACGACACCGGCGCGGUGGACGUUGCGCACGCCUACAUGGCUGAAAGGGACUAGUCCUGAUGAUGCAGUCUUGGCUCAAACAAAAACGCGGGCCGUGAAGCCCGCGUUUUCAUAUUCAAAAUCGAUUGAAGCGCUUAGCGCGGUCCGCGCGGACCGGCACCUGCGCCGCCACGGCCACCG